rnacentral:rRNA from 1 species
AUUGAACGCUGGCGGCAGGCCUAACACAUGCAAGUCGAGCGGAGCGGCGGUCGCGUACGUACUGCCUAGGUAUCUGCAUGGUAGUGGGGGAUAACGUCCGGUACCGGGCGCUAAUACCGCAUAAUAUAGGCUGCGCAUAGGCCGGAUUAGCUAGUUGGUGGGGUAAAGGACAACCAAGGCGACGAUCAGGAACUGGUCUGAGAGGAUGAUCAGUCACACUGGAACUGAGCCACGGUCCAGAAGACUACGGUAGGCAGCAGUGGGGAAUAUUGCACAAUGGGCGAAAGCCUGAUGCAGCCAUGCCGCGUGUGUGAAGAAGGUCUUCGGAUUGUAAAGCACUUUAAGUUGGGAGGCGUUACCAACAGAAUAAGCACCGGCUAACUUCGUGCCAGCAGCCGCGGUAAUUC